rnacentral:rRNA from 1 species
AUUAGAUUAAAAACCAAUGCCCUUCGGGGCUCUCUGGUGAUUCAUGAUAACUUCUCGAAUCGCAUGGCCUUGCGCCGGCGAUGGUUCAUUCAAAUUUCUUCCCUAUCAACUUUCGAUGUUAGGGUAUUGGCCAAACAUGGUUGCAACGGGUAACGGAGGGUUAGGGCUCGACCCCGGAGAAGGAGCCUGAGAAACGGCUACUACAUCCAAGGAAGGCAGCAGGCGCGCAAAUUACCCAAUCCCGACUCGGGGAGGUAGUGACAAUAAAUACUGAUACAGGGUUCUUUCGGAUCUUGUAAUUGGAAUGAGUACAAUUUAAAUCCCUUAACGAGGAACAAUUGGAGGGCAAGUCUGGUGCCAGCAGCCGCGGUAAUUCCAGCUCCAAUAGCGUAUAUUAAAGUUGUUGUGGUUAAAAAGCUCGUAGUUGAACCUUGGGCCUGGCUGGCCGGUCCGCCUCACCGCGUGUACUGGUCCGGCCGGGCCUUUCCCUCUGUGGAACCCUAUGCCCUUCACUGGG